rnacentral:rRNA from 1 species
GACGAACGCUGGCGGCGUGCCUAAUACAUGCAAGUCGAGCGGACGGAUGGGAGCUUGCUCCCAGACCGUCAGCGGCGGACGGGUGAGUAACACGUGGGCAACCUGCCUGUAAGACUGGGAUAACUCCGGGAAACCGGGGCUAAUACCGGAUAACUCUUUCCCUCACAUGAGGGAAAGCUGAAAGAUGGCAUCUCGCUAUCACUUACAGAUGGGCCCGCGGCGCAUUAGCUAGUUGGUGAGGUAACGGCUCACCAAGGCGACGAUGCGUAGCCGACCUGAGAGGGUGAUCGGCCACACUGGGACUGAGACACGGCCCAGACUCCUACGGGAGGCAGCAGUAGGGAAUCUUCCGCAAUGGACGAAAGUCUGACGGAGCAACGCCGCGUGAGUGAUGAAGGUUUUCGGAUCGUAAAACUCUGUUGUCAGGGAAGAACAAGUACCGGAGUAACUGCCGGUACCUUGACGGUACCUGACCAGAGAGCCACGGCUAACUACGUG